AUUCUUUUACUUUGAGUUCGUUGCUUUAAUAAAACCUCAGAAUUCACAUCUUAGCUUAAAGCUAAGAGGUCAAGGCAAUUUCCCCCCCCUAGAACUGCUGCAGAGAAUCCACGGACACCCCAAACUUUGCUACUGAGAGGAAGGAGGUGGGUCAAUUGCUGAAGUGGAACAAAAAGGUCUCAGAUCUAUGAGGCACGAUGGGACAAACACCUCUUCUGUGGCCGCUCUGUAAGUACCACAUGCUCUGUUUAAAACCUCAGUAUGUAAUAUGUAUAUUUAAGAUAUUUUAGCUCCAGUGAGUCAAAGCUACAGGUAUUUGCUUUUACUUAAAAACUCUUAAUAACUGAAAGAAGAAUGGUGUAACGGUAAACGUGGUUACACAUUACAGAAAGAAGUACAGGUGUUGUAAUCCAACUGGUUUUUGCAUUUAACAGGAGAAAGAGUUUCACUGUGUGAGAUUAUUACACUAUCUUAUGCUACAUUAUACUUCUAAUCAAAGAAUUGUUGAAUCAUUAUAAAACUAUAGGCCACAUUAUGUCAGCCAGCACGUUUUUAUGUUACAGCUUGAUUUCUUGAAAGAAGGAAUGAAAAAUAAUGUAAAAAGUAAAUUCAUCUGUUAAGUCUUUGACUACAGACAGAAUCAGAAUCAGCAUACUUUAUUGAUCCCUAGGGGAAAUUAUGUUGGUUACGGUGCUCCAGCAAAAACAGUUACAAAAACAGAUACAAAAACAGAUACAAAAUACAAGAAGUAAGAAAUAGCAAAAUAAAUAUACGAUAUAUACAUACAUAUAAAUGACUUAUUGAUACUGCAGGUAUCUACUUAAGUUGGACAGCGUUAAUCCUCCGGAGUUUCCACAUGAGGCUCUGAGAGGUGCAAAGUUUUAGAAUGUGUGUUUCAUACAUUGCGAUGGAUUCUGGUUCGGGUUCUUUUAGCAUGUACUGCAGGUUCAUAGUGCAUGGUUUUCCAUCAGAUCAGGUUUAUCAGUUUUUUUGUCUGCACUGAAAAUUGCUCACACACUGUUAAAGAUGUUGAAACAGACACUUCACUCUGGAACUGAUGAAGCCAGAAACAGUGAGGUGUUUUUCCUAAACUUCUCACAUUAAAGCAGACUUAUUCUGCUUAUUUCCAGCUCCAUGUUACCUUUCUUGGAUUAUACUACUGUAGCAUCAAAUAUUUACAGGUCAUAAUAAUCGUUCAUGUAACUGUAACAUGUAACAUGUGGGAAAUUUAUGUAUUAUCAGUAAAAAUUUGUAUUGGUUUCACAGGUUUGCAAAGUGCUUACUAUACAAGAUAGAUUGUCUAAGACUGUUACAUAAUUUUGCCAAGUGAGCGGCUCUGUGAUCAUUAAGCUUCCAGUUUUGCAAACUAAACCAAGCAGAGGUGUUAAAGUCGUCGCAGGGUAAAGAUAUAGGCUGUGCUGUGGCCUCAUGUUUGCUGCUGUUAUUCCUAAAUUUCAAAUUUUGUGUCACCCUAAAACAAGAAUUCUGUGUCAGUCAUGUGACUUUGUCUUGCUUUGCAGAGAGCGAUCCAGCUGCGAGUUAUUCUUCUGUGCACAGAACAGAUGACAUCAGCUAUGCACAGAUCCCCAUCAAGACAAACUGCAGACAGAGAGAUCUUCCACCAGAGCCAGCGGUCGUCUACUCCUCACUGAAGCUGACACACACACCUUCACCGAAGUGUAACUAGUGACAUCCAGCUGGCUGCCCGACACAUCCCUGCACUCCUCUCUUUAUUACAUAUUAUUUAUUGAAUCAUAUUCUGUGUGUGUUUACAGUUAUACAGCUGCACUGGACCAGUUUGAAUAUAGAGCUCAGGAUGAAGUGGAGAGUUUAUGUUUGUCUUUAAUAAAACAUUUUAAAUACAAAGCAGUUUCUCGGUCAUUGAACACACCUGUGCAACAUCGGCCAAUCAAAGAUUCAAAACGGGACGUUGUUUUCUCACCUGAAUAUAGAGUCAAAACACUUCAUGUAUGUGCGUCUGGCAACAGCUGCAGGACAUCAGCAGGCGUCUUUUAAUUUUGUUCUUUAAACAGAAGAAAGUCACCUACAAUAAUUUUAAGGAGUGGCAUCACCCUCAGGUGACUAUUAAAGUCUAUUCUGGCAGUUUGAAGGACGCUUUAGAAUCUUUAAUUUACGAGACUGCACACCUUCCCCUCACAUCCCUCCCAGCAAAGAUAAGAAAGGAAGGAAGAGCAAGGAAGCGAGGAAGAGACAUGAGGAGAGAGGAGUCAAGGCGGGACGUCUCCUUCCUUCAAAGAAUCAUUUUAAAUUGCUGUCAGUUAAAUAUGACAUUUGACACAAAUACUUUAGACUUAGACUUAGAUCCUCCCAUGCCUUAUGUGGCAUACAGGGUGGCAAAUGAACACCACCAGCCUUGAUCUUGUGCCCGGGCUUCAGCUUCUAUCAACAAUAUGCUCGAUGUCUUUAAGUCUUGAUGGAAUGACCUUCGCCAGGUGUUGCGGGGAUGUCUUCAUGGUCUUUUAACGCCCAGGGGUUGCUAGCGCAUCGCUGUUCUUGGAAUCUGUGCAUCAUCCAUGCAGAGGAUAUGGCCGGCCAGUCGGAGUCUUUGGCAUGCAACGAUGUUGUGAAGUUUGACCGCGCCACUCCUUCACAGGACCUCCUCAUUGGUGAAGUGGUCGAUGUAGCGGAUCCUCAGAAUCCGGCGAAGACAUCGCUGCUGAAAGACGUCGAGCUUGGUGUUGAGCAGGCUGACACCUUCCAAGUCUCGCUGGCAUAAAUGGUGGAUGGGAUCACGAUCGAAUUAAGCAAGUGGAGUUUGAUCUUGAGGGAGAUGGACGGGGAGGACCAGAUCUUGUUCAUCCUCCGAAAUACCGCAGCCGCCUUUCCAGUGCAGCAUUUGACAUCCACCUCCCGGUCGCCGUCAUGGGAAAUCACGCUACCAAGGUAGGUGAAUUUCUCCAGUUCUUCUAGCUGCUGUGUCCCGAUGUAGAUCCCCCGUCGUGGGUCCUUGGAGCUGACAUGCAUGAUCUUCGACUUUUCAGAGAUGAUCCUCAGGCCAAUCUUGCCAGCUUCUCUUCUUAGAAUGGUUGUUCCUUGCUGGAGCUUCAGCUCGUCUUCCUCGAGUAGGGCAAUAUUGUCAGCUAAAUUGAGGUUGCCAAGACGGUCUUGAUCAGAACAAUGGAUGCCAGCUCCUAUACGGGCGCCGGCUCGCCGCAUGACGUAGUCGAGGGCAACGAGAAAAAGCAGAGGUGACAGGAUGCAGCCCUGCCUGACGUCGGUGGUGAUCUAGAAGAAGUUGGUGUGGCCAUUUCCGGUCUUAACGCAACAGCAUGAUCGCAUGUACAGGUCCUUGAAGAUGUUGAUGAAGAUAGUAGGGACACCGUACAAGCGCAGGAUCUGCCAAAGUGAAUCGUGGUGGAUGCUAUCGAAGGCCUUCCUGAAAUCGGCGAAAUUUAUGGCGAGUUGUUGCCGGUACUCGACGCACUGUUUGAUGAUGUUUCUUAAGGCGUGCUGUUCCGUGCACGAUCAGCCGCUUCAGAACCCAGCUUGCUCCUCUCGUAGACGUUGGUUGAGGGCACUCCUCAGUCGUUGAAAGAGGACAAUACAGAAUGCCUUGCCAGGCACAGAGAGGAGGGUAAUGCCUCUCCAGCUGGUGCACUCUGAGGUGUUGCCCUUCUUUGGUAGCUUGACUAUGGCACCCUUCCGCCAGUCCUCCAGCACUGUGCCACUUUGCCAGGACUUGUUAAACAGGGUCUUCAAUUCUUCCACCAUGGCUUGGCCGCCGUAUUUCAGGAGCUCUGCUGGUAUUUCGUCUAAGCCGGCCGCUUUGUUGUUCUUGAGGUUGUUGAUCACGAUCUUCACUUCCUCGAUGGUGAUUCUGCUGGUGUUGACCCCAAGCUCAUCUUGGGCAUCCUCUGCCUUGAAAUUCUACGUCGUGGCGGGCUCUGACUGGUUAAGGGUCUCUUGGAAGUGUUCGGCCCAUCUUUUGUUUUGCUCUUCUUGGGCGAUCAGGAGCUUCCCAUUUUUGUCCUUGACCGGGACGUUUACAUUGGUGCUCGAUCCAGUAAGCUUGUUUACGAUGCAGUAUAGGGUCUUGGAGUCCGAAGUUUGAGUUUGACUUCCGCUCUGACUAGGUGGUGGUCAGACACAAAUGCAUUAAAAUUUUUUGUUAUAGCCAAUCACAUUUUUUUAAUCAAUCACCUGGAACAGCUCCCACAAACAACAGAAUUUGUUUUAUUUUCUGUGUAUCAAAUAAACUCAGAACAGCUCAGCUUUGAGGACAUGCUGUGCUAAAGGUCGAACGUGGGAUUACCAUCAUGGUGUAAACAAUUUUCUUUUACUACCUUCUAGGGGUGGAGCCAAACCCGAAUACGGUAUUCGGAAAGGCACGAAUAUCGCGUUUUUUUUAUGAAUACUUAUUUCGAACAAAUACUUGUAUUUCUAUUCGGGAACAAGGGAAAACUUUAUAUCAAAAAGCUGAGUUUCCUUAUUAGACCGCAGUGCAUGCCUGGAUGAGUGAGUGAGUGACAUGUAAAAGGUGAGUGAGACAGGCUGCUCCACACAGCAACAGAGAAGGCUCGGCUGAGCGAUAAAAGACUGCAUCACCAUUUUUGUUGAAUAGAUUUUUUUUUGUACCUUAACACUGUUCCAGAGGCAGUUUACAACUUUCGCGCAGGUCAGGAGAUUAAACAGGGGCAUACAUUGGUUAGCCACAACCAAAUUGGAAGAGAUAAAUAUCCCAUCUGACACUUUGGUGAAACCCACAGAACCACAGAAAAACAAACGACAACAAAACUAUUUUAGUCCUGCACAGAAACCACAUCUAUGCUGUGUGAACAAGAACAAACAAACAAAACAUAAAAUUGUAAAUUAUUGAAAAUAUGAAAACAUUUUAAUAUGUAUUUUCUGACUGUUUAUGUUGAAAAAAGCUAAACUUUUAAAGGUACAGUCAAUAUAGGUAAAGUCUAAUUAAGU